rnacentral:lncRNA from 1 species
AGACGACACUCAGAGAGCUUGGAGGGGCGGUGACCAAAGAGGUAGGUCACAGCCAGAUACCAAGGCCUUGACUUUGGGGUCUCAUUUUACGGGUAAGAACCCUCCCUUGGCUGGGGGUGAGGCUAGGGCCACACACCCAUUCCCCAGCCAGCCUUUGCAGAGGUCAAUGAGAAAGAGGCAAAUUCUGGAACCUUUCCUCACCCUCUUUGACCCAGAGAGGAUUUAAUCUGGAAUGAAGCUGGUUGAGACUAGUUUUGUGAGCGAUCUGUCCACCUGGGGUGCCGGUGUGUUUUACAAGGCUGGCUUUCAUGGCGCAGUUGAGUUCCCACUUGCAGAACAUACUCACCCUGUGGCUAUAAGGCAAAGCGCUGGGGCUUGUAGGCACUGGACCCCAAGCAGUGAACAGGUCAGUGCAGGGCCUGUUUGGUGUGGCUGCACAAGCGCGAGAAACAGGAAUGCAGGCGUUUCUGGCUGGAGGGAGAAGGUUGGAUGAGUGUAACAGCACCUUCGGGGUGAGGGUUUGCAUUUCCGCUGGAGACGAGGCCAGGUGUCUUGCACUCAGGUUAGGCUGUGAGGAAUUGAGGCCAGGCCCAGAAGGAGGGUGGGAUGGAAGGGAGGGGCCGUCAUGUGGAUGGUGGGCCAGGUGUCCAGGCCCGCCAGGUGCCCAGGUUGGAGAACCCGGAUUCUCCAUGUGUGCGGGUCCUCCAGGUGCCCACGUCCUCCAGGUGCCCGGGCCGUCCGGGUGCACAGGUUUGUGAGAUGCUCCCACUGUGUGCUUCCUACCGUUUUGCAUCCAAUGCACAUGGAUGCACUCCCACCUCUCGGCUCCCCUGGAUCACCCCAGGCAGGUGAAGGAAUGUUUUGGAGCCCUGUUUUCUCCUCCCUGAGACAGGGUGGCACCCGGCCUCCUCCUCUGGCUGCUGCAGGCUCAGUUCACUUUCCCACGCUGGACCCCUUCAGGCCAAGCCUCGGGGAGCACAGAACCAUGGGACAGCGGGGAUCCAGGACCCCCAGAAAUCCGGCUGGAGGAGCUUCAGGGUGACCCCUCCUCCCCUGUCCCUCAGAGCAGAUGCUCCUAGAAUGCUCCUUCUUAGAGCAAGUGAAUUAGCAUUCCCACCAAGGCUGCCCAGAAUGGGGUAGGGGCAGGGUGUGUGGGGACCAGCAUGGGCACCGAGCCUUCGUCAUCUGUGGUCUCAGUGGCAGGCGGGCAGUGCCAGAAGCCCCAUCUCCAUCCACUGUCUCCCCUCUGUGCUCUCCCAAGGCGUGGCCCCUCCCCCCACCAUCUCACCAUCUCUGCAGGGUUUCUGCUGAAGACCAAGGACUUACAGGCUCUUUAGAGGCCAGAGAGGCAACCUGUGUUUGGGACAGUUGGCGGGGACCCAGCCCAGGUGGGGAGUGACCAGAGGACACCCAGGCAGAGCCACUGCUCCCUUGGGGACUCCUGGGCCCCCUGCUCUUCCCAGGUGGGGAGUGAACAGAGGAUUCCCAGGCAGAGCCACUGUUGCCUCUGGGGCUCCUGCACCCCUGCUCUGUCCAGAUGUUGGCUUCCCACCCUGCCCGGGCUGGGACCCCUGUUCACCUCCCUCCGCUAUUCCUGCAGCCUGUGAAGCCCAUGCCCCGCGGUGGUUUUGGCUGACUCCAGGGCAGGGUUGCCUCCUCCUGUCCCAGGUGUGCAGCUCGCACGCACACAGCCGGCAAACACAGCGUGGUGAGCUCAGGAGGAUUGUCUAGGAUGCAGGAGUCACAGGAAGGGGUCCCAGCCUGCAGCCCACCCUCUUCUGCAUCCCCCUCUUCCCACCACCGCCUUCUCCUCCCUCUGCUUUCCUCUGUCCUCCAUCCUCCUCUGCACAGGAAGCCUCUCCAGGCCCGAAGGCAGAGUUGCUGGAGCUGUUGCUUGAUUAGGGCCAUGGCCCCCAUCCCCUGGCCAGGGGAAUUCUCUCUCCUCUCCCCGUUUUUCCUCCACACUUCCCUCUUCCCUCCCUGUUCUCUCCCUCUGAGCUGGGUUAGGCUGAUGGGCUCCGAGCACAGAGGCAGAAGCAUAUUCAUUUCGGUCCUCUCAGGGGCCAAGACCCUUUUACAUCGGAGCUGGAGAACGCAGCCACCCGUGGGCUAGAGGAGGGGCCGGGGCGCCCCAGAACUGAGGCCCCCGCUUUCCAGGCCAAUGCCCUCCUUCCUUCUGUUUCCCACCCUUUCCCACCCCGGGGGUUUAAUGUGCGUCUCCAUGCACUACUAUCGGCAGUUCCCAGCAGGUCAUAAGAGCUGCCCCGGAGUUCUGUCCAGUGGGACCUCACGGGGAGACGGGGUUCCAGCAAGGAGCUCUGAAGGAGGGCGAGGUAGCAGGAGAGGGCGGGCCAUGGGGAGACCCGGGCUUUCUGCAAUGAGGGGGCGGUGAGAGGAUUGGUCACUGGUUCCUUUAGGAAGCCCUGCUUUCUUGGGGAGGGCGCACCUGACAGGUGGCUUCAUUCGAAUGUGUUUGGGGCUCCCGCCCCAACAAACGCACCCCCCUCAUCCUCUCUCUGGGGGAGAGGGAGCUGCCACACACCAUUCGUUUAUGCCCGCCAUCUCCCACGGUGCUCAAGGCAUCGAAGCGCCAGUUGGAGGGAGGGCAGAGCUUGCUGGGUCCACCCGGGAUGAGGCCGGGACAUACACAGCCCCUUUCUUGGCCUCAUCAAUGAUUCUCUGAGCUGUUUUUAUCCCCACAGAUCCAUCAGAACAAAAUACCUGUUGACUAGACUUGAGUUCAGCUCCUCUCCUUCCCGCAGGCCCUUAACCUGGACCCCCUCAGCCUGGGCCAGCCCGUGACUCCCCACCCCCUGAGACAGUGCUGGCCAGGGGAAGCUGAUUUGUUGUCCCUGAGGCCACCCACCCCACCCCCGACACAAGAACAAAGAACAAGGUUGAAUUCUUUCCAGCCUUGUUCACAUCCCCCAUAAAAGAAAACCUUUGGCCAGGCACCGUGGCUCAUGGCUGGAAUCCCAGCACUUGGGGAGGCUGAGGCCGGCAGGUCACUUGGGGCCAGGAGUUCAAGACCAGCCUGGCCAACAUAGUGAAACCCCAUCUCUACUAAAAAUAAAAAUUAAAAAAAGUAGCCAGGCAUAGUGGUAAGUGCCCGUAAUCCCAGCUACU